rnacentral:rRNA from 1 species
UCGAGGGGCAGCAUGACUGUAGCAAUACAGUUGAUGGCGACCGGCAAACGGGUGCGGAACACGUACAGAACCUUCCUUCGAGCGGGGAAUAGCCCAGAGAAAUUUGGAUUAAUACCCCAUAGCAUAACGGAGUGGCAUCACUUUGUUAUUAAAGAUUUAUCACUUGAAGAUGGCUGUGCGGCUGAUUAGGUAGUUGGCGGGGUAACGGCCCACCAAGCCUGCGAUCAGUAACUGAUGUGAGAGCACGACCAGUCACACGGGCACUGAGACACGGGCCCGACUCCUACGGGAGGCAGCAGUAAGGAAUAUUGGUCAAUGGACGAAAGUCUGAACCAGCCAUGCCGCGUGGAGGAUGAAGGUCCUCUGGAUUGUAAACUUCUUUUAUAUGGGACGAAAAAAGGCCUUUCUAGGUCGUCUGACGGUACCAUAUGAAUAAGCACCGGCUAACUCCGUGCCAGCAGCCGCGGUAAUACGGAGGGUGCAAGCGUUAUCCGGAUUCACUGGGUUUAAAGGGUGCGUAGGUGGGUUGGUAAGUCAGUGGUGAAAUCUCCGAGCUUAACUUGGAAACUGCCAUUGAUACUAUCAGUCUUGAAUAUUGUGGAGGUUAGCGGAAUAUGUCAUGUAGCGGUGAAAUGCUUAGAUAUGACAUAGAACACCAAUUGCGAAGGCAGCUGGCUACACAUAUAUUGACACUGAGGCACGAAAGCGUGGGGAUCAAACAGGAUUAGAUACCCUGGUAGUCCACGCCCUAAACUAUGGAUACUCGACAUACGCGAUAAACUGUGUGUGUCUGAGCGAAAGCAUUAAGUAUCCCACCUGNNAAGUACGAUCGCAAGAUUGAAACUCAAAGGAAUUGGCGGGGGUCCGCAC